CAUAAAUGGGUUUGGGUUUGGGUUUUUUUUUGGUUGAGUGGCUUUUUUUGGUGUGUCCCAUAGGCAGUAGUUCUAAUACUUCUAAUAAACAACUUCUUCCCUCUUUUUCUGUGAUGCUGAAGACUUUAUUCUAGUUGUACAGCAGCUGAAGUGCCACUGCAGGGCCUUUAUCAUCUGAUUAUUUUGGCUUAUGUGAAAGAUUACUUUUCUCACUCCCUCAGGGCCUGCCCUCUGUGACUCACAGGCUGCCCUCUCCUUUUAAACCUUGUAUGGACUUCCAGAAAUGUGGAGGCUUUGAGACCGUGUUCUUCCAAAGUGCAACAGAGACAACAGAAUAAAGGACGCUGCUCUCCAGGACUUUAGCCCUCAAAUCCUGUGCACCAGAUCCAGAUGUUUGGGGAGUUCAUCUUAAGGAAAAAAAUGCAAGUCCAUGGCAAGAAUUCACCUCACAGAAUCACCAAGCCUGGACUAUGUAAUAUGAAACAGAAUUGAUUUCCAAUUACUUGUCACCUGUGAUACAUCGGAAGAAGGAUGGAGAUGCUUUGAUGAACAUGACACUUUCUCUUCAGUGCCAGAGGUGUGCGUUGUGGCAGUUCAAAGCCACAGAAAUGAAGAGGAAGGUCCCCAGAGACCAGAGGAUGAGCUAGCUGCAUGGGAGGUGCAAAACUGCGUUUAGAAACCUGCUCACGUAGGCAGCUGCAGAGACAGAAGAAAAGCCACUAAGGUAAUCGACAGAGGGUGGUGCUGCUGCAGUAAGUACUGUCUGCAGAUCACUCAUGGGAAAUGCUAUUGGGCUCCUUACAUGGCUCCUGGGCCUUUCUCUGCAAAAUGCAACAGCUGAUCACGGUGAAUGAAACAAGACCAGGACCCGGAACACCUGAUCUGAAGUCUUUGACCUGCAUCUCUCUAAUCCAGUUUUGUCACAAUGCCUUUACAGAGCAGCUAAUCUUUGCAAUAUGAAGAUCCUGGCUCUAAUACCAGAGGUUAGCAAAAGUAAUCUGUCUAGGUCAGGCUGCAGUGCCUGUGAGGGCUGGCUGGAAAGUUUCCAAAAGCUGAUCGCUUCCAAUCUGUGCUUCAUCUUAAGCCGUGAUGACCCUGUUGUGUUGCCUGGUGUCCCAGCAGAAACAGUAUUGCUAUUGCUAGCAAAAGGCCACUUUGCCUUAUGCUAACUUUGCAAGGCUAAAGCAUGAGGCUUGUUAUCAGCAAGCUGGGAGAGCUUGCUGUGUGAAAUGGAACUGGAUACCAGGUGUCUCUGGUUAUUAUGUGGAGUUUAAGUGUGGGAUAAUUAACAAAGGCCUUGAAAAUGUGGGCACAGGAUGAAAAUGGAGGCCUCAGGGCUAUAAACAACUCCCUGAUGGUCAGCUGCUGGUCACUGAAGAAAUGCAACCUUGAGAGGUGGGAGAGAUUGGUUUAAGCACAACAACAGCUAAGCAAGAAAACAGCUGAGCAAUAGGAUAAGGUUCCUGACCUGGUCUGGGAAAGCAGCACCCUCAAGCAACAGGUAAUCCACAGAGCGGAGGCCAGAGACUAAGAACCUGCCUAGAGAUUCAAACAUCUUAUCAAAGGAUAAAAUAGGACUGGAUAAAAUAGGAAUAUGUAAGCAUAAUCCAUCACAUAAGCACAUCCCAUGACGCAUCCAGCACCAGCAACUGUGAGCACGCUCGUCUCUUUUGGGUUUGUGCCACACAAGCAGUUUAAAAUGUUAUAAAUAUUUUAAAUGAGCUGCUCACUUUAUUAUUUGUUUAUAGCGUACAGGCCUCGGAGCAAAGGCGAUUCCCAUGGCUGGUGUCUCAGGCAGAAGUGACUGCUUGGCUCCCGCCCAGGAAAAGCUCUGCCAUCCCUGGCCUACAGGCUGUUGCCCUGUGUUAUCUUACCAUGCGCCUGGCUGUAAGUGAGAUCAGUUCAGUAGUGAUUUCCUGGCUGAGCAGUUGCCGAUAUAAAAUCCAUUCCCCCUUGUAUAGCCAGGGAAGAGUUGAAGACUUCUCUACUUCUCCAGGCCUUUUGAUAGCCUGGUUGUGCAAACCUAUGGAUUAAAUGCAAGAUGGGAAAGGCAAGUUACACCUCCAUGUUGGGCAAAAACUUUUCCGAGAUUAAGGAUGAAGCUCAGGGGUUAAGGAUGAAGCUCAGCUUAUUUCCUUGUACAAGGCCUUGGAGGUCAUGGCUUGGCAUGCCAUCUCUUCCCUGGGGUUUAGCACACAUGGUGCCUUUCCCAGAUCUUGCUUUUGAAGAAGGAUGAAACUUUCCAAGCUGUUAAAGGCCAGAUCCUGGUGUCAUGUUGCCAGUGAAAUCUCCGCUGGUUUUCAGGGUGCAAAGCUUUCAGCAGUUUCUGUUUUCAGCAUGGAUCCUAGGAAGCUCAGGCUGCCUCUGCAGCCCCGUUCCCUGUGCCUGUACAGCCUUCCUGCACCACAGCUAUUCCCUCAGACCUGGCUGCUAGCACAGGCUCUUAGCCAAAAGGAGGUUUUAAACCUAGUGCAGAGAUAAAAGGCCACUGCCUGCUCGCUGGGUUAGUUUUAACUAAACAAUCCCCCCCGAAUAUUAAUGGUCAUUAAAUCAUUUUGUUGAUUCUU